CUGACAUAAGUAACGAUAAAGCGGGUGAAAAGCCCGCUCGCCGGAAGACCAAGGGUUCCUGUCCAACGUUAAUCGGGGCAGGGUGAGUCGACCCCUAAGGCGAGGCCGAAAGGCGUAGUCGAUGGGAAACAGGUUAAUAUUCCUGUACUUGGUGUUACUGCGAAGGGGGGACGGAGAAGGCUAUGUUGGCCGGGCGACGGUUGUCCCGGUUUAAGCGUGUAGGCUGGUUUUCCAGGCAAAUCCGGAAAAUCAAGGCUGAGGCGUGAUGACGAGGCACUACGGUGCUGAAGCAACAAAUGCCCUGCUUCCAGGAAAAGCCUCUAAGCAUCAGGUAACAUCAAAUCGUACCCCAAACCGACACAGGUGGUCAGGUAGAGAAUACCAAGGCGCUUGAGAGAACUCGGGUGAAGGAACUAGGCAAAAUGGUGCCGUAACUUCGGGAGAAGGCACGCUGAUAUGUAGGUGAAGUCCCUCGCGGAUGGAGCUGAAAUCAGUCGAAGAUACCAGCUGGCUGCAACUGUUUAUUAAAAACACAGCACUGUGCAAACACGAAAGUGGACGUAUACGGUGUGACGCCUGCCCGGUGC
rnacentral:rRNA from 1 species